rnacentral:rRNA from 1 species
AUUGAACGCUGGCGGCAGGCCUAACACAUGCAAGUCGAGCGAGCGGCGGACGGGGGAGUAAUGUAUGGGGAUCUGCCCGAUAGAGGGGGAUAACUACUGGAAACGGUAGCUAAUACCGCAUACUAUCAGAUGAACCCAGAUGGGAUUAGCUAGUGGGUGGGGUAAUGGCUCACCAAGGAGACGAUCCCUAGCUGGUCUGAGAGGAUGAUCAGCCACACUGGGACUGAGACACGGUCCAGACUCCUACGGGAGGCAUCAGUGGGGAAUCUUGCACAAUGGGCACAAGCCUGAUGCAGCCAUGCCGCGUGUAUGAAGAAGGCCGUCGGGUUGUAAAGUACUUUCAGUGGGGAGGCGUUACCGACAGAAGAAGCACCGGCUAACUCCGUGCCAGCAGCCGCGGUAAUUC